AUAUACAUCAACGUAGGAAAAAAAAUGGUUAAAGGGUGUUCAGGUUACUUAUUAGGUUAUAUGCUUACCGACCCCGUUAAGGACUCGAUGAUCUAGAGACCA